rnacentral:rRNA from 1 species
UACGUAGGGGGCAAGCGUUGUCCGGAUUUAUUGGGCGUAAAGAGCGUGUAGGCGGCCGCACAGGUCCGUUGUGAAAACUGGAGGCUUAACCUUCAGACGUCGAUGGAAACCGUGCGGCUAGAGUCCGGAAGAGGAGAGUGGAAUUCCUGGUGUAGCGGUGAAAUGCGCAGAUAUCAGGAAGAACACCCGUGGCGAAGGCGGCUCUCUGGGCCGAUACUGACGCUGAGGAGCGAAAGCGUGGGGAGCGAACAGG